UACGGAGGGUGCAAACGUUGCUCGGAAUCAUUGGGCGUAAAGCGCACGUAGGCGGUCGGCUAUGUCGGAUGUGAAAGCCUCGGGCUUAACCCGAGAAGGGCAUCCGAAACUGGCCGGCUUGAGUACGGAAGAGGGUCUCGGAAUUCCCGGUGUAGAGGUGAAAUUCGUAGAUAUCGGGAGGAACACCAGUGGCGAAGGCGGAGACCUGGGCCGAUACUGACGCUGAGGUGCGAAAGCGUGGGGAUCAAACAGG
rnacentral:rRNA from 1 species